GACGUAGGGCGCGAGCGUUGUCCGGAUUUAUUGGGCGUAAAGAGCUCGUAGGCGGCUUGUCGCGUCGUCUGUGAAAUCCCGCGGCUCAACUGCGGGUCUGCAGUCGAUACGGGCAGGCUAGAGUUCGGUAGGGGAGACUGGAAUUCCUGGUGUAGCGGUGAAAUGCGCAGAUAUCAGGAGGAACACCGGUGGCGAAGGCGGGUCUCUGGGCCGAUACUGACGCUGAGGAGCGAAAGCGUGGGGAGCGAACAGGAUUAGAAACCCCCGUAGUCC
rnacentral:rRNA from 1 species